UAUUGUGAACAGCAGUUCGAUGUUGAACGUGUCUCUGCUGAUCUGAGCCCUGCCGGCCACAGGAACCCACGUCUUCCUGAAGCGUCUCCAGGUCCCGAGGGACAACGUCCAUGGGCUGAGCGUGGGCCUGAGGACCAGAGAGCAGGCAGGUUUCGGCACCAUGUGCAAGAACGAGGUGCAACAAGGUGGUGCAGAGUCUCCAGGAGUGCA